rnacentral:rRNA from 1 species
GAUGAACGCUGGCGGCGUGCCUAAUACAUGCAAGUCGAGCGAACAGAUGAGGAGCUUGCUCCUCUGACGUUAGCGGCGGACGGGUGAGUAACACGUGGAUAACCUACCUAUAAGACUGGGAUAACUUCGGGAAACCUGAGCUCAUACCGGAUAAUAUAUUUAACCGCAUGGUUCAAUAGUUAAAGACGGUUUUGCUUUCACUUCUAGAUGGAUCCGCGCCGCAUUAGCUAGUUGGUAAGUUAACGGCUUACCAAGGCAACGAUGCGUAUCCGACCUGAGGAGUGGAUGGGCCACAUUGGAACUGAGACACGGUCCAGACGCCUACGGGAGACAGCAGUAGGGAAUCUUCCGCGAUGGGCGAAAGCGUGACGGAGCAACGCCGAGUGAGUGAUGAAGGUGUUCGGAUCGUAAAUCUCUGUUAUUAGGGAAGAAGAAAGGUGUAAGUAACUAUGCACGUCUUGACGGUACAGAAUCAGAAAGCCACGGCUAACUACGUG